rnacentral:rRNA from 1 species
UGCAGUCGAGCGAACAGAUAAGGAGCUUGCUCCUUUGACGUUAGCGGCGGACGGGUGAGUAACACGUGGGUAACCUACCUAUAAGACUGGGAUAACUUCGGGAAACCGGAGCUAAUACCGGAUAACAUUUGGAACCGCAUGGUUCUAAAGUGAAAGAUGGUUUUGCUAUCACUUAUAGAUGGACCCGCGCCGUAUUAGCUAGUUGGUAAGGUAACGGCUUACCAAGGCGACGAUACGUAGCCGACCUGAGAGGGUGAUCGGCCACACUGGAACUGAGACACGGUCCAGACUCCUACGGGAGGCAGCAGUAGGGAAUCUUCCGCAAUGGGCGAAAGCCUGACGGAGCAACGCCGCGUGAGUGAUGAAGGGUUUCGGCUCGUAAAACUCUGUUAUUAGGGAAGAACAAACGUGUAAGUAACUGUGCACGUCUUGACGGUACCUAAUCAGAAAGCCACGGCUAACUACGUGCCAGCAGCCGCGGUAAUACGUAGGUGGCAAGCGUUAUCCGGAAUUAUUGGGCGUAAAGCGCGCGUAGGCGGUUUCUUAAGUCUGAUGUGAAAGCCCACGGCUCAACCGUGGAGGGUCAUUGGAAACUGGGAAACUUGAGUGCAGAAGAGGAAAGUGGAAUUCCAUGUGUAGCGGUGAAAUGCGCAGAGAUAUGGAGGAACACCAGUGGCGAAGGCGACUUUCUGGUCUGUAACUGACGCUGAUGUGCGAAAGCGUGGGGAUCAAACAGGAUUAGAUACCCUGGUAGUCCACGCCGUAAACGAUGAGUGCUAAGUGUUAGGGGGUUUCCGCCC